CAAUAGCGUAUAUUAACUUUGUUGCAGUUAAAAGGCUCGUAGUCGAAUUUAUGGCUUUGUAGACCUGGCCCACUAGCAAGUCUAGCGAGUGCCGGUGUUUACUAGUCAUCCUUCUGGAAAGCACUUCUACCCUUGAUUGGGUUGGUCGUUGUAAUCCAGAUCAUUUACUGUGAGUAAAUCAAAGUGUUCAAAGCAGGCUUGUGAAGCUUGUAUGCUCUAGCAUGGAAUAAUAAGAUAGGACUUGGGUUCUAUUUUGUUGGCUUUCAGAACCAAAGUAAUGAUUGAUAGGGAUAGUUGGGGGUGCUAGUAUUUAACGGUCAGCGGUGAAAUGCUCAGACCCGUUAAAGACUAACUUAUGCGAAAGCAUUCACCAAGGAUAUCUUCUUUGAUCAAGAACGAAAGUUGGGGGAUCGAAGAUGAUUAGAUACCA
rnacentral:rRNA from 1 species